GACAGAGGAUGCAAACGUUGUUCGGAAUUACUGGGCGUAAAGCGUGUGUAGGUGGCUGCGUAAGUCGGAUGUGAAAGCCCUGGGCUCAACUCAGGAAGUGCACUCGAUACUGCGUAGCUUGAGUACCGGAGAGGUUGGUAGAAUUCUCGGUGUAGAGGUGAAAUUCGUAGAUAUCGAGAGGAAUACCUGUGGCGAAGGCGGCCAACUGGACGAGUACUGACACUGAGACACGAAAAGCGUGGGGGAGCAAACAGG
rnacentral:rRNA from 1 species